GGGGAUUUAGCUCAGUGGCAUAAGCACCUGCCUUGCAAGCAGGUAUGGUCUUGAGUUCAAUCCCCA
rnacentral:tRNA from 1 species